GAAAUGCGAUAAGUAAUAUGAAUUGCAGAAUUCAGUGAAUCAUCGAAUCUUUGAACGCACCUUGCGCUCCUUGGUAUUCCUUGGAGCAUGCCUGUUUGAGUAUCAUGAAAUCUUCAAAGUAAAUCUUUUGUUAACUCAAUUGGUUUCUACUUUGGUAUUGGAGGUUUUUGCAGCUUCACACCUGCUCCUCUUUGUUCAUUAGCUGGAUCUCAGUGUUAUGCUUGGUUCCACUCGGCGUGAUAAGUUAUCUAUCGCUGAGGACACUGUAAAAGGUGGCCAAGGUAAAUGCAGAUGAACCGCUUCUAAUAGUCCAUUGACUUGGACAAUACUUUUAUGAUCUGAUCUCAAAUCAGGUAGGACUACCCGCUGAACUUAAGC
rnacentral:misc_RNA from 1 species